rnacentral:pre_miRNA from 1 species
CAUGCACUGGGGGGUGGGUCCCUCAGCCCAAAUUGCAAGAGGGCACAGGCCAGGCCGAGGGACCCCACCAGUGCACA